CCGGCCUCUGGACCAAUACAACCCAGACACAAGGCCAGAUCUUUUUUAUAUGAAAUCCCUCCAGAAAGCUACGGUUACCGUGGCCUGCUGCAAA